CGUAUCGGACAACACGGGCAACCGUGUCAAACUCGCCUGUAAUUCCGGCAUCAUCACGCAAGUGAUGUGGCGACUGCUCUUGCUGCUGCGGCAGUGAUUUU
rnacentral:ncRNA from 1 species